UACGUAGGGUGCAGGCGUUAAUCGGAAUUAUUGGGCGUAAAGCGCACGUAGGCGGCUUUGCAAGUCCCAUGUGAAAUCCCACGGCUCAACCGUGGAAGUGCAUGGGAAACUGCAGAGCUUGAGUACUUAAGAGGAUCGCGGAAUUCCCGGUGUAGAGGUGAAAUUCGUAGAUAUCGGGAGGAACACCGGUGGCGAAGGCGGGUCUCUGGGCCGAUACUGACGCUGAGGAGCGAAAGCGUGGGGAGCAAACAGG
rnacentral:rRNA from 1 species